GACGAACGCUGGCGGCGUGCUUAACACAUGCAAGUCGAACGGAAAGGCCCUGCUUUUGUGGGGUGCUCGAGUGGCGAACGGGUGAGUAACACGUGAGUAACCUGCCCUUGACUUUGGGAUAACUUCAGGAAACUGGGGCUAAUACCGGAUAGGAGCUCCUGCUGCAUGGUGGGGGUUGGAAAGUUUCGGCGGUUGGGGAUGGACUCGCGGCUUAUCAGCUUGUUGGUGGGGUAGUGGCUUACCAAGGCUUUGACGGGUAGCCGGCCUGAGAGGGUGACCGGCCACAUGGGGACUGAGAUACGGCCCAGACUCCUACGGGAGGCAGCAGUGGGGAAUAUUGCACAAUGGGCGGAAGCCUGAUGCAGCAACGCCGCGUGCGGGAUGACGGCCUUCUGGUUGUAAACCGCUUUCGCCUGUGACGAAGCGUGAGUGACGGUAAUGGGUAAAGAAGCACCGGCUAACUACGUG
rnacentral:rRNA from 1 species